rnacentral:rRNA from 1 species
UGGGGAAUUUUGCACAAUGGGGGAAACCAUGAUGCAGCGACGCCGCGUGAUUUAGAAGGCCUUCGGGUUGUAAAAAUCUUUUUUACGGGAUGAAAAUGACAGUACCGUAAGAAUAAGGUCCGGCUAAAUACGUGCCAGCAGCCGCGGUAAUACGUAUGGACCGAGCGUUGUCCGGAAUCAUUGGGCGUAAAGGGUACGUAGGCGGCCUAGUAAGUUAGAAGUGAAAUAAUAUAGCUCAACUAUAUAAAGCUUUUAAAACUGCUAGGCUUGAGAGAUGGAAGGGAAAGUGGAAUUCCUAGUGUAGCGGUGAAAUGCGCAGAUAUUAGGAAGAAUACCGGUGGCGAAGGCGACUUUCUGGUCAUAAUCUGACGCUGAGGUACGAAAGCGUGGGUAGCAAACAGG